rnacentral:rRNA from 1 species
AGAGUUUGAUCAUGGCUCAGAAUCAACGCUGGCGGCGUGCCUAACACAUGCAAGUCGAACGAGAAAGGGGAGCAAUCCCUGAGUACAGUGGCGACCGGGUGAGUAACACGUGACUACCUGCUCGAGUGGGGAAUAACUCCGGGAACCGGGGCUAAUACCGCAUAACACCGAAAGGUCAAAGGAGCAAUUCGCUUGAGGAG